rnacentral:rRNA from 1 species
GAUGAACGCUGGCGGCGUGCCUAAUACAUGCAAGUCGAGCGAACGGACGAGAAGCUUGCUUCUCUGAUGUUAGCCGCGGACGGGUGUGUAACACGUGGAUAACCUCCCUAUAAGACUGGGAUAACUUCGGGAAACCGGAGCUAAUACCGGAUAAUAUUUUGAACCGCAUGGUUCAAAAGUGAAAGACGGUGUUUCUGUCACUUAUAGAUGGAUCCGCGCUGCAUUAGCUAGUUGGUAAGGUAACGGCUUACCAAGGCAACGAUGCAUAGCCGACCUGAGAGGGGGAUCGGCCACACUGGAACUGAGACACGGUCCAGACACCUACGGGAGGCAGCAGUAGGAAAUGUUCCGCAAUGGGCGAAAGCCUGACGGAGCAACGCCGCGUGGGUGAUGAAGGUCUUCGGAUCGUAAAACUCUGUUAUUAGGGAAGAACAUAUGUGUAAGUAACUGUGCACAUCUUGACGGUACCGAAUCAGAAAGCCACGGCUAACUACGU